CUACGGGGGGCUGCAGUGAGGAAUAUUGGGCAAUGGAGGCAACUCUGACCCAGCCAUGCCGCGUGCAGGAAGACGGUUCUAUGAAUUGUAAACUGCUUUUAUUCAGGAAUAAAAUUAGCUACGUGUAGUUGACUGAAUGUACUGAAUGAAUAAGCACCGGCUAACUCCGUGCCAGCAGCCGCGGUAAUACGGAGGGUGCAAGCGUUAUCCGGAUUUAUUAGGUUUAAAGGGUCCGUAGGCGGGAUCUUAAGUCAGUGGUGAAAGCCUGCAGCUUAACUGUAGAACAGCCAUUGAUACUGGGAUUCUUGAAUUUGAUUGAGGUAGGCGGAAUGAGAAGUGUAGCGGUGAAAUGCGUAGAUAUUUCUCAGAACACCAAUUGCGAAGGCAGCUUACUAAGUCAAUAUUGACGCUGAUGGACGAAAGCGUGGGUAGCGAACAGGAUUAGAUACCCUCGUAGUC
rnacentral:rRNA from 1 species